UCCAUUUUAAACAUUUUGUUUAAACUUUUUUUUCUAAGGUAAUUGUUAUCAACUCUGCUAGGAGGGUUGCUUAAAGACGUCAGCCCAUCGUGCAAAGAAUUACCACUUGUUAGCAUACAACAAAGAGGUUUAGCUGUAAACGUCUUGUUUUUCACAAACAUUCAGGACUUGUGGAACUUGUUGUGGGACAUUUAUUUCAAACUCGUUACAGGACUUCAUCACAUGAUUUUGGCUUAUCGUAGAACUUUCUGUCAGGUCAACUUUACCCGGAAAUGGAUGGUGAUGACGCACAUUUAGCUUUUAAAUGUACAAAGGUCACCUGGACAAUUGUGAGGCACGCAGCGGUGAUUAUUCCGCAAACGAAGCAGCUGGCGUAGAGAGCCAACUCCAGCAGCAGCAGCCCGCAGGGGUCGCUGUCUCUGCCGGUCCAGAUGGCUGAAUAGAACUCCCUCAGGGCUACCUCAGACACCUCAAUAAACCGCUCUGGGACCUGAUGGCAGAAAAUCAAACAACGUGAGCAGCUUUCACGGACUUCAUCCAUCAUCUGUAAGGUAGCACCACAGAGAUGAGGUGGAGAGAGGGAUGUGGAACAGGAUGAAGCGCCGUUAUCUCCCACUCUCAUCCCUCCAUCCCCUCCAUGCUCAAAACACACAGUGCCAGGAAAAGAGAUUGAUGAAUACAGGAGGAGGAAGAGGGAGGGUCACUCUUUUCCAUCCCCUCAACAAUAGAUGGAUGAUCUCUAUUUAUCCUCUAAUCGUAUAUCCCUCCUUUUUUCUACCCUCCACCACUAUUUUUCUUUUCUCUUGUCAGCUCUCUCCAUCCAUCCGUCUGUCUUUUCCACUCAUCCCUCACUCCUCUCUUCACUCCACCAAAGCCUCCUCUUCCAGCACCAAACAUGGUGCUGUAAUUGGAGGUUGCUCACACUGAUGAGACACUCAUAGGACACAGCAUGAGGUACAACCAUGCAAAUGAAUGCCUGUUAAUUCAUAGAUUCUUUUCAAACAUCCUCUAUACAGCCCUGAUCAAAAUCUUAAGACCAGUUGAAAAAAUGCACAUUUGGCCCUUUAAUGGGGUUUUAAGUAGGGCUACAAUAUGUAAAUGUAAGAAGGGGGAAUGAGACUAAAAAUAUUUGGAACUUCAAAACAAAAUAUUAAGACCACAUACUAUAAAAUGCUCUGCUCAAUAUUCUCAUUUUCUGUCAGGCAUUCACACUGUCAUGCCCCCCUGAUGGCUAAAGCUUUAAGGCUAGCUCUUUAAGGAUGGCCCUUUAAGGCUGGCCCUUUAAGGAUGCCCUUUAAGGCUGGCCCUUUAA